CCUACGGGCGGCAGCAGUGGGGAAUAUUGGACAAUGGGCGAAAGCCUGAUCCAGCCAUGCCGCGUGUGUGAAGAAGGCCUUCGGGUUGUAAAGCACUUUCAGUGGGGAAGAAAGCCUUGGGGCUAAUACCCUCGAGGAAGGACAUCACCCACAGAAGAAGCACCGGCUAACUCCGUGCCAGCAGCCGCGGUAAUACGGAGGGUGCGAGCGUUAAUCGGAAUUACUGGGCGUAAAGCGCGCGUAGGCGGUCUGAUAAGCCGGUUGUGAAAGCCCCGGGCUCAACCUGGGAACGGCAUCCGGAACUGUCAGGCUAGAGUGCAGGAGAGGAAGGUAGAAUUCCCGGUGUAGCGGUGAAAUGCGUAGAGAUCGGGAGGAAUACCAGUGGCGAAGGCGGCCUUCUGGACUGACACUGACGCUGAGGUGCGAAAGCGUGGGUAGCAAACAGGAUUAGAUCCGAGUAGUC
rnacentral:rRNA from 1 species